UACGUAGGGCGCAAGCGUUGUCCGGAAUUAUUGGGCGUAAAGAGCUCGUAGGCGGCUUGUCACGUCGGGUGUGAAAGCCCCGGGGCUUAACCCCGGGUCUGCAUUCGAUACGGGCAGGCUAGAGUGUGGUAGGGGAGAUCGGAAUUCCUGGUGUAGCGGUGAAAUGCGCAGAUAUCAGGAAGAACACCGGUGGCGAAGGCGGAUCUCUGGGCCAUUACUGACGCUGAGGAGCGAAAGCGUGGGGAGCGAACAGG
rnacentral:rRNA from 1 species